rnacentral:rRNA from 1 species
GGGACUCAUCGACGCUCAUGCUCGAAAGUGCGGGUAGCAAACAGGAUUAGAUACCCUGGUAGUCCGCACCGUAAACGAUGCAUACUGGGUGUCCGCGGUUCGCCGCGGGUACCGAAGCCAACGCGUUAAGUAUGCCGCCUGGGGAGUACGUACGCAAGUAUGAAACUCAAAGGAAUUGACGGGGGCCCGCACAAGCGGUGGAGCAUGUGGUUUAAUUCGAGGCAACGCGCAGAACCUUACCAGGGUUUGACAUGGGAACGCCGCGGCGAGAGAUCGCCGUUUGUAGCAAUACACGUUCCGCACAGGUGCUGCAUGGCUGUCGUCAGCUCGUGUCGUGAGAUGUUGGGUUAAGUCCCGCAACGAGCGCAACCCACGUUUCCAGUUGCCACCCGCAAGGGGGCCCUCUGGAGAGACUGCCGGGGACAACCCGGAGGAAGGUGUGGAUGACGUCAAGUCCUCAUGGCCCUUACAUCCUGGGCUACACACGUGCUACAAUGGUCGGUACAAUGGGUCGCAACGCCGCGAGGCGGAGCCAAUCCUGAAAGCCGGCCUCAGUUCGGAUCGGAGUCUGCAACUCGGCUCCGUGAAGCUGGAAUCGCUA